UACGUAGGGGGCUAGCGUUGUCCGGAUUUAUUGGGCGUAAAGAGCGUGUAGGCGGCCAGGUAGGUCUGCUGUGAAAACUCGAGGCUCAACCUCGAGACGUCGGCGGAAACCAUCUGGCUAGAGUCCGGAAGAGGAGAGUGGAAUUCCUGGUGUAGCGGUGAAAUGCGCAGAUAUCAGGAAGACCAGUGGCGAAGGCGGAUCUCUGGACAGUUCCUGACGCUGAGGCGCGAAGGCCAGGGGAGCAAACGGG
rnacentral:rRNA from 1 species